rnacentral:rRNA from 1 species
GCAAAAGAAGCAGAGGGGGCUUAGUGGUGGGGUGACUGCGUACCUUUUGUAUAAUGGGUCAGCGACUUAUAUUCUGUAGCAAGGUUAACCGAAUAGGGGAGCCGGAGGGAAACCGAGUCUUAAUUGGGCGUUAAGUUGCAGGGUAUAGACCCGAAACCCGGUGAUCUAGCCAUGGGCAGGUUGAAGGUUGGGUAACACUAACUGGAGGACCGAACCGACUAAUGUUGAAAAAUUAGCGGAUGACCUGUGGCUGGGGGUGAAAGGCCAAUCAAACCGGGAGAUAGCUGGUUCUCCCCGAAAGCUAUUUAGGUAGCGCCUCGUGAAUUCAUCUCCGGGGGUAGAGCACUGUUUCGGCUAGGGGGCCAUCCCGGCUUACCAACCCGAUGCAAACUGCGAAUACCGGAGAAUGUUAUCACGGGAGACACACGGCGGGUGCUAACGUCCGUCGUGAAGAGGGAAACAACCCAGACCGCCAGCUAAGGUCCCAAAGUCAUGGUUAAGUGGGAAACGAUGUGGGAAGGCCCAGACAGCCAGGAUGUUGGCUUAGAAGCAGCCAUCAUUUAAAGAAAGCGUAAUAGCUCACUGGUCGAGUCGGCCUGCGCGGAAGAUGUAACGGGGCUAAACCAUGCACCGAAGCUGCGGCAGCGAACGUAUCACUUAAAGCGAUUCAGCGGAUGACGAUUGACGGAGCGAAGCGACGUCAAAGCGUAUACAAAGUCGAGUCGGUUUAAGGAUACGUUCGUUGGGUAGGGGAGCGUUCUGUAAGCCUGCGAAGGUGGCCUGUGAGGGUUGCUGGAGGUAUCAGAAGUGCGAAUGCUGACAUAAGUAACGAUAAAGCGGGUGAAAAGCCCGCUCGCCGGAAGACCAAGGGUUCCUGUCCAACGUUAAUCGGGGCAGGGUGAGUCGACCCCUAAGGCGAGGCCGAAAGGCGUAGUCGAUGGGAAACGGGUUAAUAUUCCCGUACUUGGUGUUACUGCGAAGGGGGGACGGAGAAGGCUAUGUUGGCCGGGCGACGGUUGUCCCGGUUUAAGCGUGUAGGUGUGUGUUCCAGGUAAAUCCGGUUCACUUUAACACUGAGGCGUGAUGACGAGGCACUACGGUGCUGAAGCAACAAAUGCCCUGCUUCCAGGAAAAGCCUCUAAGCAUCAGGUAACAUCAAAUCGUACCCCAAACCGACACAGGUGGUCAGGUAGAGAAUACCAAGGCGCUUGAGAGAACUCGGGUGAAGGAACUAGGCAAAAUGGUGCCGUAACUUCGGGAGAAGGCACGCUGACAUGUAGGUGAAGUGAUUUACUCAUGGAGCUGAAGUCAGUCGAAGAUACCAGCUGGCUGCAACUGUUUAUUAAAAACACAGCACUGUGCAAACACGAAAGUGGACGUAUACGGUGUGACGCCUGCCCGGUGCCGGAAGGUUAAUUGAUGGGGUCAGCGCAAGCGAAGCUCCUGAUCGAAGCCCCGGUAAACGGCGGCCGUAACUAUAACGGUCCUAAGGUAGCGAAAUUCCUUGUCGGGUAAGUUCCGACCUGCACGAAUGGCGUAAUGAUGGCCAGGCUGUCUCCACCCGAGACUCAGUGAAAUUGAACUCGCUGUGAAGAUGCAGUGUACCCGCGGCAAGACGGAAAGACCCCGUGAACCUUUACUAUAGCUUGACACUGAACAUUGAGCCUUGAUGUGUAGGAUAGGUGGGAGGCUUUGAAGUGUGGACGCCAGUCUGCAUGGAGCCGACCUUGAAAUACCACCCUUUAAUGUUU